rnacentral:rRNA from 1 species
UACGAGGGGGGCGAGCGUUGUUCGGAAUUAUUGGGCGUAAAGGGCGCGUAGGCGGGAUGGCAAGUCAGUCGUGAAAUCUCUCGGCUCAACCGAGAAACGUCGGCUGAUACUGCCGUUCUUGAGGGAUGCAGGGGAGACUGGAAUUCCUGGUGUAGCGGUGGAAUGCGCAGAUAUCAGGAGGAACACCGGUGGCGAAGGCGGGUCUCUGGGCAGUAACUGACGCUGAGGAGCGAAAGCGUGGGGAGCGAACAGG